rnacentral:misc_RNA from 1 species
ACGAUAUUAUCUGAUUGGCAAGAAUUCACAACAAGUUGUUCUUUAGUAAGA